UUUUACACAAUAGUCUAUCUUUCUUAUUAUCCGAUGAUAUUACGACAAGUGCAAGAAGGUAAAAAUCGUGCAUUGGGAAAAUCCUCGAAGAAAACAACCAUCCUGACCUACAUAGCAUACCCUCAGAUAAAAUUGGAAGUUAUACCCAUAAAAUUCUCUUUCUCUUCUUUUUGAAUGAGAAAGUUUUUUAAAACUAAAGAUAGAAAAGUUCGAAGGAAGAAAGCUUCUUUUUUGGUUGGAUAAAAUUUUUGAAAAGGAUGUACAGAAACAAAAGUGGAAAGAGAACGAAAGAGUUACAUAUAUGGAAGUUGAAGGACCAAAAGAAGAACGAAAGUAUAGAGAAUCGGAUAACAGAGAAGUAAAAAGUAGGGGGAAAACGAUAAGAGAAGAAAACUGGAGGAGAGUUCUAGUUCCAUGUGGAUGGGAUACGGAUCAAUAUCGCAGAGGUUGAAGCAUCUUUUGGUUAAGAUUCCUUCAGUUUAGGACGAAGGAACUGAUUCGACAAAGAAGAAGUAUGAAAUAAAAUUCUUUUUAUUCUCGUGUCCUCAUUAUCUGCAGUCUAUUUCUUCUCUAUCUCUGUUCAUUCUAUAUAUAAUGAAUGAUCUAUAUUCAGAGGGAGUAUACGUUAUACAUAUCUGUACCUAAAUUUAUUUAAGUUUUAUGUAGAUACACGUGUUAAACAAUAAACGAAUAAAAUAUUUUUUGAAAUUUCAAUAGACAUAGAAUGGGGGAUAGAAUCCGUAAACAAUCGGUUCUCGUCUCCGUGUGACCCAGCGGUAAAAGACUUUUCUCGAUCGAUACGGUGAAGCAACGUAGAAAAGAGGAAAAGUUUUAAUACGUUAUACGAAUUAUCCUCUUUUACCUUUAUGUAUCCAAAUAUACUUUGCCCUUAUUUCCGUUUAUUUAUCGAUCAAAUUUCUAUUCAUAGUUUUCAUCGUUAAAAAAGAUUACUUCUAUUAAAAUUUUUCA